ACACGGAGGGCGCAAGCGUUGCUCGGAAUCACUGGGCGUAAAGCGGGUGUAGGCGGUCUAGCAAGUCAGAUGUGAAAGCCCACGGCUCAACCGUGGAAGUGCAUCUGAAACUGCUAGACUUGAGUGCCGGAGAGGGAGGUGGAAUUCCUGGUGUAGGGGUGAAAUCCGUAGAUAUCAGGAGGAACACCGGUGGCGAAGGCGACUUCCUGGACGGCCACUGACGCUGAGACCCGAAAGCGUGGGGAGCAAACAGGAUUAGAAACCCCAGUAGUCC
rnacentral:rRNA from 1 species